AUUUAAAUAGUUUAAUUAAAAUACUGAUUUGUGGUGUCAGAGAUAUAUGGGAUAUUUUAAAUA
rnacentral:tRNA from 1 species